AUUGAACGCUGGCGGCAUGCCUUACACAUGUAAGUCGAACGGUAACGCGGGGCAACCUGGCGACGAGUGGCGAACGGGUGAGUAAUGUGUCGGAACGUGCCCAGUUGUGGGGGAUAACUGCUCGAAAGAGCAGCUAAUACCGCAUACGACCUGAGGGUGAAAGCGGGGGAUCGCAAGACCUCGCGCAAUUGGAGCGGCCGAUAUCAGAUUAGGUAGUGGGUGGGGUAAAGGCCCACCAAGCCAACGAACUGUAGCUGGUCUGAGAGGACGACCAGCCACAAUGGGACUGAGACACGGCCCAGACUCCUACGGGAGGCAGCAGUGGGGAAUUUUGGACAAUGGACGCAAGUCUGAUCCAGCCAUGCCGCGUGCGGGAAGAAGGCCUUCGGGUUGUAAACCGCUUUUGUCAGGGAAGAAAAGGGCGACUCUAAUACAGUUGCCUCAUGACGGUACCUGAAGAAUAAGCACCGGCUAACUACGUGCCAGCCGCCGCAGUAAAAC
rnacentral:rRNA from 1 species